rnacentral:lncRNA from 1 species
GGAGGAACAGCCAAGAGGGAGGCCGGGCCAGGGGCUGGUGGCUUCCUCCGCGAGCUCUGCCAGUUUCUGGCCUCAGGUCCUGAGUUGUUAUCGCAAGUCCAGGAAGAAUGAGGUUACUCAGGCAACUGGAGGGUGAGGAUGGAGAAGAGCUUUAUUGAGCAACAGAACAGCUCUCAGCAGAGAGGAGACCCAAAGUGGGUAGCUCCUACCUGCAGGAAGGUUUCUGAAGGGGGCCAAGAUGGCCCAAUAGGAACAGCUCCAGUCUGCAGCUCCCAGAAAGACCAACGCAGAAGGCAGAUGAUGAAUUAGAGCGGUUGUUAUCGAAUCUGCCACCAGAGGGCGAUCCAGGCUGAAGGUGACAUUACACUUAGAGGGAUCCACAGAUUCAAGAGGCUGCUUGGGGAGGGCAGCACAGUGAAGUACAAGGACUUUGACAUCAGAGAGGCCUGGAUUCAAGUCCCAAUUUCUGUGUGUGGUAACCAGUCUGCAAGACAGCCUGUGAUGGUUCCUGCCUCCUCGUAUUCAUGUCCUUCUUAGUUCCCUUGCGCAUUGAAUCAGGGCUGGCUCUGGGUGACCAAUAGAAUGUGGAGGAAGUGAUGGGGUGUGAAUUCCGAGGCUAGGUCACAAAAGGCAUUGUAUCUUCCACCUCUUAGAUCUCUCUCUCUGCGGAAGCCAGCCACCGCUCUCCAAGGACUCUCGAGCAGCUCCAUCUACAGAUUCACAUGGAGAAGAAUUAAGGGUUCCUGCCAAUCACCAGCACCACUUUGCCAGCCUUGUAAGUGGGCCACCUUGGAAUUGGAGCCUCCAGUUCCUACUGACAUCUGACUGCAACAUCAUGAGAGACCCUGAGUUUGAACCACCCAGCUGAGCUGCUUCUGAGCUAACCCACUGAAACCGUUCCUUAGAUCCUGGGAUGAGGAGGUGGACCAGCAGAAGGUGGGCUUGUGAAGGCAGCCCGGGGUCCAAAUCCUCCUGGCUCUUCAGCUUAGCGGGUUAGUUAACAUUCAGAAGCCUUCAUCUCCCAUCUGCAAAAUGGGCAUGUCCAACUCAGAAGCUGCCUUGAAGAAAGGGUCUACCCAGCAUGGUGCGUGGAGCCUAAGCAGUCAGUACUUCAGGACUUCACCCGGCCCCUUUCCAAUAACUGCUGCUGUCGCCCUCACAGGAUGUCACCUUCAGCGUCUGAAAGCUGGGUUUGAUGCGUCUGGAAAGGCGUCCCUGACAGGCGUCGUUGCCAGGAGCCCCUAGUGCCACCAGCAGCCAGCAGGGGAGGGCGUCCUCUGCCCGCUCACUUCUGACCCUUCUCUCGUUGCACCCGGAACAUGGUGCAGCUGGGAGCAGCCUGGGCUGCGCGGAAGGCUCAGAUUUGGGGACGGCCCUUGCCAGUGACUGUGAGCUGGGGUGUCUUGGAAACUCCCAGUCUCAGCUUCUCCAUUUAUAAGAUGAGAAUGAUCAUACCAGACUCAGGCAAGGUUGUUUGUGCAUUAGUGAAAUCAGACGUAUUAAAUAAAGUACCACAUUGAUCGUGGAGUUGUUGAAUAACCAAGAACACGCCUAUCUGUCUCCAAAA